GCCGCGCGUCGCACCUGGACCCCGCCCGCACCCAUGGACCUGGCUCCUGGGCGCACCCGCGACCUUUCCCCGGGGCGGGCGGUGCUUUCCGCCGCGAAGCGAUUGGAAGACUCGGGCAGUGUCUGGCCAUUUCAAUAACCAUCUGAUCCACUAGAUUUCCUGCUAAAGACCUAGUGUCAGCUGAGUGAAAGGAAAGAGCAUGAGAAGAACUCGAUCUGAAAUCCAGAAUGGCCACUUUUUAAAUCUUCCUUGAUGAAAUGACUAUUCAGGACUUCCCUGGUGGCUCAGUGGUUGAGAGUUCGUCUGCCAAUGCAGGGGACGUGGGUUCGAUACCUGGCCCGGGAAGAUCCCACAUGCCGCGGAGCAACUCAGCCCGUGAGCCACAACUACUGAGCCUGCGUGCCACAACUACUAAAGCCUGUGUGCCUAGAGCCCGUGCUCCGCAACAAGAGAAGCCACUGCAGUGAGAAGCCCACGCAUCGCAACGAAGAGUAGCCCCUGCUCGCCACAACUAGAGAAAGCCCACACGCACAGCAAUGAAGACCCAGCGCAGCCAAAAAUAAAUAAAUA